CAGAGGCGGAGGAGCCCAAAUCUUGGGCCUUGACCAGCAUCCUUCUGAAGAGGAUUCCUCUCCUUGCUGUGCUUGGAACAGACAGUGUCGAAACCAUUCACCAGUUUGGAAGCAUUUGAAAUAACCCAGAAGAUUGUCAAUAGUAUGUUGGAGAAGCAUCAUGCUUGAAGAAUCUUGCCAUUUUUGGUGUAGUUGAACUGGAAGCCAGAGACCUGUUCUAGCCUUAAGAAUAUAAAGACUAUCUUUUGUGGAAAAAGGAACAGAGUUAUUACUACAAAUAUAGAAUGAACAAUUUACACAGGAGAUGGAAUAUUCCGACGAAUUCCAUGCUGUGUGACCAAUCAUAAUUAAAAAGGGCAAUCUGACACAGGCUGUAAUAUAAUGAUUCUCGUUUUUUGUACAACUCAAUUAUUAUUUGUAACACUAUCAUUCAAAUACGUCUUUUCCAAGCUAUCAGACUCCAUAAAGCUGAGGGAAUUUUCCACAAGUAAUAUUGCAGGGGCCCUAAAGGUAAACGUGGGGCAGGAGGAGACAUCCCACCUCCAUGCCAAUGAAUGGUCUCAUUAGAAGAUGUGACAAUGGUGUGAUUAGUGACAUCAAUACAUUUAUGCCAUCUCAGGCCAUGCCCCUGUCCUCUGGCUGGGAUGGAACCUCAAGGGCUCCAAUCAAUGACACUUCCAGAGGAGGUAUUGAGUAAAACCCGACCUAUUUCUCCUCGACAAUUCAUCCAGUGCGCCCAUUCACUCAUUUCUAUAAAGAUUGGCUGAGUGGAGAUGGGCAAAAUCGGGGGGGUGAUCUGUUGUGUCUUUAGUAUUAUUUUGUUUGUGGAAUCUGAAUCCUUGAAGAAGGAAUAAUUUUUUAUUGGUAUGAUUUUUGACAAUGGAUAGCCAUGCAGCUGGUUGUAUUUUCAAGCAAUGUUUCUCACGUCCAGUGCAAAUGGGCAUCCCCUCCACUCCCACUGUAUAAGUAAGUCUCAAUCUUCACGCCCUCCUCUCCUGGCCUUAGGGGGCCACGAGUAUCAUAAGGACCAGGAGUCCAAUUAGAAUCAUUAACAUAUACUGGGAUCCUUUCAGAGAGCCAGUGAAUAACUUGAUUGCUAGGAGGGUUAGCAAUGUAAGCCCAAUAUGAAUAAUUAGUGCCCUUGGCAGAACUUAACCCCAUGGUGACCAGAGCAAUCAUAGCCAGAACAAAUUUGAAGCGUUGCGUGCCUGUCCGCUCUGUUGUACAAUCUUUUCAGCUCCCUGUGUCAUUGUUUUUCAGUUGUCCCCAUGUUGGGGGAUUCAGUUUUUGAGGUCUUGGUAACAGAAUUCGAACUCUGGAUCUUCCAAUAGUCAUGGCUUGCACUUCAUCAAUGGGAGGUUCAACAUCAACUCGAGGCCUUUUGUUCAUUUUGGGGGUUUUAUCUUUUUAGCUGAGAUCCACACAGCUUCUCCGGUG